rnacentral:rRNA from 1 species
ACAGGGGAUGCAAGCGUUAUCCGGAAUCAUUGGGCGUAAAGCGUCUGCAGGUGGAAGRAUCAGUCUKUUGUUAAAGCUUCAGGCUUAACCUSGAAUSUGCAAAAGAAACUAUUWWUCUAGAGUAUGGUAGAGGKAAAGGGAAUUUCCAGUGGAGCGGUGAAAUGCGUAGAUAUUGGAAAGAACACCAACAGCGAAGGCAU